rnacentral:rRNA from 1 species
GAUGUGCCCAGAUGGGAUUAGCUAGUAGGUGGGGUAACGGCUCACCUAGGCGACGAUCCCUAGCUGGUCUGAGGGGAUGACCAGCCACACUGGAACUGAGACACGGUCCAGACUCCUACGGGAGGCAGCAGUGGGGAAUAUUGCACAAUGGGCGCAAGCCUGAUGCAGCCAUGCCGCGUGUAUGAAGAAGGCCUUCGGGUCGUAAAGUACUUUCAGCGGGGAGGAAGGUGUUGAGGUUAAUAACCUCAGCAAUUGACGUUACCCGCAGAAGAAGCACCGGCUAACUCCGUGCCAGCAGCCGCGGUAAUACGGAGGGUGCAAGCGUUAAUCGGAAUUACUGGGCGUAAAGCGCACGCAGGCGGUCUGUCAAGUCGGAUGUGAAAUCCCCGGGCUCAACCUGGGAACUGCAUUCGAAACUGGCAGGCUAGAGUCUUGUAGAGGGGGGUAGAAUUCCAGGUGUAGCGGUGAAAUGCGUAGAGAUCUGGAGGAAUACCGGUGGCGAAGGCGGCCCCCUGGACAAAGACUGACGCUCAGGUGCGAAAGCGUGGGGAGCAAACAGGAUUAGGUACCCUGGUAGUCCACGCC